GUGCCAGCCGCCGCGGUAAUACGUAGGGUGCGAGCGUUGUCCGGAAUUACUGGGCGUAAAGAGCUCGUAGGCGGUUUGUCGCGUCGUCUGUGAAAUUCUGCAACUCAAUUGCAGGCGUGCAGGCGAUACGGGCAGACUUGAGUACUACAGGGGAGACUGGAAUUCCUGGUGUAGCGGUGAAAUGUGCAGAUAUCAGGAGGAACACCGGUGGCGAAGGCGGGUCUCUGGGUAGUAACUGACGCUGAGGAGCGAAAGCGUGGGUAGCGAACAGGAUUAGAUACCCUGGUAGUCCACGCCGUAAACGGUGGGUACUAGGUGUGGGUUCCUUUUCACGGAUCCGUGCCGUAGCUAACGCAUUAAGUACCCCGCCUGGGGAGUACGGCCGCAAGGCUAAAACUCAAAGGAAUUGACGGGGGCCCGCACAAGCGGCGGAGCAUGUGGAUUAAUUCGAUGCAACGCGAAGAACCUUACCUGGGUUUGACAUACACCAGACGUAUGUAGAGAUACAUAUUCCCUUGUGGUUGGUGUACAGGUGGUG
rnacentral:rRNA from 1 species